CCCCACAGCCAGUCAGGUCUUCUUAACAGGUGAGGAAAUUGAGGCUGAGGGACCACCUGGGGCUGUCUGAGGGGAGCAGGAUCCAAUGUGUGCUGACAUUCAGGUGCUUCCUCUUUUGUCCAAUCUGGGCAGAGGGCUCUGUGGGACCGUCCGGCCAACUGAAGCUGGGAGAGCAGUGCUUUCUUCCUCGGUGUGAUCCAUAGCUAUGGCACAGGACCUAAACCCCUGGCUGCACAUAGUGUGGAAACCUGUCUCUGUCCCCCCACGAGACCGUGUGAUUAAGUAUGUUGACGUUAUUCCAGCCACAGCUCUCACUGUGGGAGGAAGCACAGGAGAGGAGGAACCUUCUUCUGUGAGAAGAAUUGGAAUUACAAGGUAACAUCUAGGCCUCUGUUGUGGUUCAGCUCCAGGCCCCAAAAAGCUUCAAAAUCAGGUGGGUGCCUGACGCCAGAAUCAACUGCAAAGACUAAGGACUCCCUGCCCUGUCACUGACCAAUCAGAAGAGACCAUGGCUCUGAAAGCGUGCACCUGAAGAACUGAUGAAUAUUCUACUGAAACCCUCUCUGGAGACCUUCCCUAAGACUCCGCUUGCAUGAAAGAGAUAAAAACCUCGAAACAAGGGACCCAGUGUGGGCGCUCUCCCUCUGGGGUGCAGCCAGGGACAUUCCCUUUCCCUUCUUCUCCCACUUUCUUUCCCCACAGGCACACGUCUCCUAAACUCUAAGGCAAUGGGCAGCUGGCAGCUUGUCCCAGGCUAACACCCUGAACCUGUCCCCAAGGCCCCCUUUUCUCUGACUCCCCAGUGAGCUGAGGCAGCCCAGCCAGGCUCUCCUGUUGCUUCUUCUAUGGUAGGUCCUUCCUUGUUUCACUGUCCCUUUAAUAAAUGCAUCCUCAUUGUC